UAGAGUUUGAUCAUGGCUCAGAUUGAACGCUGGCGGCAGGCUUAACACAUGCAAGUCGAACGGUAACAUAAACUAGCUUGCUAGUCUGAUGACGAGUGGCGGACGGGUGAGUAAUGCUUGGGAAUAUGCCUUGAAGUGGGGGACAACAGUUGGAAACGACUGCUAAUACCGCAUAAUGUGCUUUUUGUAGUGAAAAGUACCAAAGGGGGGGCUCUUCGGACCUCUCGCUUCUUGAUUAGCCCAAGUGAGAUUAGCUAGUUGGUGAGGUAAUGGCUCACCAAGGCGACGAUCUCUAGCUGGUUUGAGAGGAUGAUCAGCCACACUGGGACUGAGACUCGGCCCAGACUCCUACGGGAGGCAGCAGUGGGGAAUAUUGCACAAUGGGCGAAAGCCUGAUGCAGCCAUGCCGCGUGUGUGAAGAAGGCCUUCGGGUUGUAAAGCACUUUCAGUUGUGAGGAAAGGUUGUAGUUUAAUAUGCUAUAGCUGUGACGUUAACAACAGAAGAAGCACCGGCUAACUUCGUGCCAGCAGCCGCGGUAAUACGAGGGGUGCAAGCGUUAAUCGGAAUUACUGGGCGUAAAGCGUUCGUAGGCGGUUUGUUAAGCAAGAUGUAAAAGCCCAGGGCUCAACCUUGGAACUGCAUUUUGAACUGGCAAACUAGAGUACUGUAGAGGGGGGUAGAAUUUCA
rnacentral:rRNA from 1 species